rnacentral:rRNA from 1 species
UACGUAGGGGGCAAGCGUUGUCCGGAAUCAUUGGGCGUAAAGCGCGUGUAGGCGGUUCGAUAAGUCUGCUGUGAAAGUCCAGGGCUCAACCCUGGAAAGCCGGUGGAUACUGUCGGACUAGAGUGCGGAAGAGGCGAGUGGAAUUCCCGGUGUAGCGGUGAAAUGCGCAGAUAUCGGGAGGAACACCAAUUGCGAAGGCAGCUCGCUGGGACGUUACUGACGCUGAGACGCGAAAGCGUGGGGAGCAAACAGG